AAGAAAUCAACCGAGAUUCCCCCAGUAGCGGCGAGCGAACGGGGAGCAGCCCAGAGCCUGAAUCAGUGUGUGUGUUAGUGGAAGCGUCUGGAAAGGCGUGCGAUACAGGGUGACAGCCCCGUACACAAAAAUGCACAUACUGUGAGCUCGAUGAGUAGGGCGGGACACGUGGUAUCCUGUCUGAAUAUGGGGGGACCAUCCUCCAAGGCUAAAUACUCCUGACUGACCGAUAGUGAACCAGUACCGUGAGGGAAAGGCGAAAAGAACCCCGGCGAGGGGAGUGAAAAAGAACCUGAAACCGUGUACGUACAAGCAGUGGGAGCACGCUUAGGCGUGUGACUGCGUACCUUUUGUAUAAUGGGUCAGCGACUUAUAUUCUGUAGCAAGGUUAACCGAAUAGGGGAGCCGAAGGGAAACCGAGUCUUAACUGGGCGUUAAGUUGCAGGGUAUAGACCCGAAACCCGGUGAUCUAGCCAUGGGCAGGUUGAAGGUUGGGUAACACUAACUGGAGGACCGAACCGACUAAUGUUGAAAAAUUAGCGGAUGACUUGUGGCUGGGGGUGAAAGGCCAAUCAAACCGGGAGAUAGCUGGUUCUCCCCGAAAGCUAUUUAGGUAGCGCCUCGUGAAUUCAUCUCCGGGGGUAGAGCACUGUUUCGGCAAGGGGGUCAUCCCGACUUACCAACCCGAUGCAAACUGCGAAUACCGGAGAAUGUUAUUACGGGAGACACACGGCGGGUGCUAACGUCCGUCGUGAAGAGGGAAACAACCCAGACCGCCAGCUAAGGUCCCAAAGUCAUGGUUAAGUGGGAAACGAUGUGGGAAGGCCCAGACAGCCAGGAUGUUGGCUUAGAAGCAGCCAUCAUUUAAAGAAAGCGUAAUAGCUCACUGGUCGAGUCGGCCUGCGCGGAAGAUGUAACGGGGCUAAACCAUGCACCGAAGCUGCGGCAGCGACGCUUAUGCGUUGUUGGGUAGGGGAGCGUUCUGUAAGCCUGUGAAGGUGUGCUGUGAGGUAUGCUGGAGGUAUCAGAAGUGCGAAUGCUGACAUAAGUAACGAUAAAGCGGGUGAAAAGCCCGCUCGCCGGAAGACCAAGGGUUCCUGUCCAACGUUAAUCGGGGCAGGGUGAGUCGACCCCUAAGGCGAGGCCGAAAGGCGUAGUCGAUGGGAAACAGGUUAAUAUUCCUGUACUUGGUGUUACUGCGAAGGGGGGACGGAGAAGGCUAUGUUGGCCGGGCGACGGUUGUCCCGGUUUAAGCGUGUAGGCUGGUUUUCCAGGCAAAUCCGGAAAAUCAAGGCCGAGGCGUGAUGACGAGGCACUACGGUGCUGAAGCAACAAAUGCCCUGCUUCCAGGAAAAGCCUCUAAGCAUCAGGUAACAUCAAAUCGUACCCCAAACCGACACAGGUGGUCAGGUAGAGAAUACCAAGGCGCUUGAGAGAACUCGGGUGAAGGAACUAGGCAAAAUGGUGCCGUAACUUCGGGAGAAGGCACGCUGAUACGUAGGUGAAGCGACUUGCUCGUGGAGCUGAAAUCAGUCGAAGAUACCAGCUGGCUGCAACUGUUUAUUAAAAACACAGCACUGUGCAAACACGAAAGUGGACGUAUACGGUGUGACGCCUGCCCGGUGCCGGAAGGUUAAUUGAUGGGGUUAGCGCAAGCGAAGCUCUUGAUCGAAGCCCCGGUAAACGGCGGCCGUAACUAUAACGGUCCUAAGGUAGCGAAAUUCCUUGUCGGGUAAGUUCCGACCUGCACGAAUGGCGUAAUGAUGGCCAGGCUGUCUCCACCCGAGACUCAGUGAAAUUGAACUCGCUGUGAAGAUGCAGUGUACCCGCGGCAAGACGGAAAGACCCCGUGAACCUUUACUAUAGCUUGACACUGAACAUUGAGCCUUGAUGUGUAGGAUAGGUGGGAGGCUUUGAAGUGUGGACGCCAGUCUGCAUGGAGCCGACCUUGAAAUACCACCCUUUAAUGUUUGAUGUUCUAACGUGGACCCGUGAUCCGGGUUGCGGACAGUGUCUGGUGGGUAGUUUGACUGGGGCGGUCUCCUCCUAAAGAGUAACGGAGGAGCACGAAGGUUGGCUAAUCCUGGUCGGACAUCAGGAGGUUAGUGCAAUGGCAUAAGCCAGCUUGACUGCGAGCGUGACGGCGCGAGCAGGUGCGAAAGCAGGUCAUAGUGAUCCGGUGGUUCUGAAUGGAAGGGCCAUCGCUCAACGGAUAAAAGGUACUCCGGGGAUAACAGGCUGAUACCGCCCAAGAGUUCAUAUCGACGGCGGUGUUUGGCACCUCGAUGUCGGCUCAUCACAUCCUGGGGCUGAAGUAGGUCCCAAGGGUAUGGCUGUUCGCCAUUUAAAGUGGUACGCGAGCUGGGUUUAGAACGUCGUGAGACAGUUCGGUCCCUAUCUGCCGUGGGCGCUGGAGAACUGAGGGGGGCUGCUCCUAGUACGAGAGGACCGGAGUGGACGCAUCACUGGUGUUCGGGUUGUCAUGCCAAUGGCACUGCCCGGUAGCUAAAUGCGGAAGAGAUAAGUGCUGAAAGCAUCUAAGCACGAAACUUGCCCCGAGAUGAGUUCUCCCUGACCCUUUAAGGGUCCUGAAGGAACGUUGAAGACGACGACGUUGAUAGGCCGGGUGUGUAAGCGCAGCGAUGCGUUGAGCUAACCGGUACUAAUGAACCGUGAGGCUUAACCUUACAACGCCGAAG
rnacentral:rRNA from 1 species